rnacentral:rRNA from 1 species
GGUGAACGCUGGCGGCGUGCUUAACACAUGCAAGUCGAACGAAGCACUGUUUAACUUUCGGGUUAAACAGUGACUUAGUGGCGGACGGGUGAGUAACGCGUGGGUAACCUGCCUUAUACAGGGGGAUAACAGCUGGAGACGGCUGCUAACACCGCAUAAGCGCACAGUAUCGCAUGAUACAGUGUGAAAAUAUUUAUAGGUAUAAGAUGGACCCGCGUCUGAUUAGCUAGUUGGUGAGGUAAUGGCCCACCAAGGCGACGAUCAGUAGCCGGCUUGAGAGAGUGAACGGCCACAUUGGGACUGAGACACGGCCCAAACUCCUACGGGAGGCAGCAGUGGGGAAUAUUGCACAAUGGGGGAAACCCUGAUGCAGCGACGCCGCGUGAGUGAAGAAGUAUUUCGGUAUGUAAAGCUCUAUCAGCAGGGACGAUAAUGACGGUACCUGACUAAGAAGCCCCGGCUAACUACGUGCCAGCAGCCGCCGCAG